rnacentral:rRNA from 1 species
CUUAAGAUGAGAUAUCCCUGGGGACUAGAUCCCCUUGAAGGGUCGUUCGAGACCAGGACGUUGAUAGGUCAGGUGUGUAAGCGCAGUAAUGCGUUCAGCUAACUGAUACUAAUUGCCCGUAAGGCUUGAUCCUAUAACA